CAAGUCGAACGGUAACAGGAAACAGCUUGCUGUUUCGCUGACGAGUGGCGGACGGGUGAGUAAUGUCUGGGAAACUGCCUGAUGGAGGGGGAUAACUACUGGAAACGGUAGCUAAUACCGCAUAACGUCGCAAGACCAAAGAGGGGGACCUUCGGGCCUCUUGCCAUCGGAUGUGCCCAGAUGGGAUUAGCUAGUAGGUGGGGUAACGGCUCACCUAGGCGACGAUCCCUAGCUGGUCUGAGAGGAUGACCAGCCACACUGGAACUGAGACACGGUCCAGACUCCUACGGGAGGCAGCAGCGGGGAAUAUUGCACAAUGGGCGCAAGCCUGAUGCAGCCAUGCCGCGUGUAUGAAGAAGGCCUUCGGGUUGUAAAGUACUUUCAGCGGGGAGGAAGGGAGUAAAGUUAAUACCUUUGCUCAUUGACGUUACCCGCAGAAGAAGCACCGGCUAACUCCGUGCCAGCAGCCGCGGUAAUACGGAGGGUGCAAGCGUUAAUCGGAAUUACUGGGCGUAAAGCGCACGCAGGCGGUUUGUUAAGUCAGAUGUGAAAUCCCCGGGCUCAACCUGGGAACUGCAUCUGAUACUGGCAAGCUUGAGUCUCGUAGAGGGGGGUAGAAUUCCAGGUGUAGCGGUGAAAUGCGUAGAGAUCUGGAGGAAUACCGGUGGCGAAGGC
rnacentral:rRNA from 1 species